ACUGAAAAUUGUUCCACUUUACUGCAGUUUUGCAACGAUGCAGGAAGCAGGCCUGCAUUCUGUGCACAUCUUGUAACCAUACCACCUGAUAUUUUCAGACUGGGGGUGUUGAUUAUUCAGUAGGUCAUGUGAGACCCUCCUGUUUACAAUAGUAAACCAGUGCAGCAUAGUUUUAGAAUGCACUGUGCUCCUAGAAGCAGAGGACCUCAUUCUAGACUCUAUAUGCAGCCCAUGACAAAUGAAUGAAAAGACUCCCACUUACUUCAACAGGCUUUGGGUGGAAGUGGUUAUACACGGGGUAACUCCACUGUCUUCACAGGGUCCCGGUCCCACUGUGGAGGGGGACAGUGUGAGUUUGUUGCAGAGCUACUGCUCGGGGAUGGGGAACCUUCUGGCAUCCCAGCCUCCAAAAUCAUCCAGGCUGCACCUUCUGCAUGACUAUGUGCUAGCUGAGGGGUGCAUAAUAUAGUAAGAGGAGGCCCUGAAACAUAAACCCUUGUAUCAGAGGCCCAGUAUGAAGCCUAAGGCCUGAACUAAAGUAAUGGUCAAGACUUUAACAUAAAGCAAAGUUAAGCUGUGAGCAAGAGGCAGGCCCUGCUCAUAGUCUGGCAAGGAAAGGGCUGAUGUUGCAAAAAUACACAUACCUAAAAGGUACUGGACACUAGAGAUAUAAACAUGUGCCAGGAUAGCACCACAACCACUGAUACUAGUACAUUCCACACAGAUAACAAGGAACAUGCUGACCCAUCCCAAAGACAGGGUCAAAAGGAUAUGAGGGAUAGUGUUGUUUUGUCCAAACCAACAUGUACCAGGUGAGAGGUGGCACCCUAACACAUAGAGGGCUUAUAGAGCCCUCUACGGUUCUUCCUUAGCCUAAGCUAGAACUGCAUCCUUUUGUUCCUGUGGUUGGUUUCUUCCUGUGUUAUAUAAUUGCUCUUUUCUGUAGCUUGCUCUAGAGAGGUUUCGUUUCGUGCCCUGUCAUGCUCUCUGUAUGUGUGUAUAUAUAUCUCCUCAAUAUAUGUUCCAUUCUAUAUGCAUCCGAAGAAGUGGGCUGUAGUCCACGAAAGCUUAUGCUCUAAUAAAUUUGUUAGUCUCUAAGGUG